rfam:Populus trichocarpa scaffold_10_contig_199, whole genome shotgun sequence.
UCUAGAACUCGAGAUAUGGGUUUAACACUAAACAGUGUCUGGGCUGCAGGACAGAUUCGGACUUCUUUGUUGUUGCUACAAUUUGGACUUGAAAACGGCCUUGUUAAAUCUUGGACUCCCAUGAAAUUGUAGGCCUAUGUCUUACCUUUCCAUC